rnacentral:rRNA from 1 species
CUGCCUAACACAUGCAAGUCGAACGAAGUCCUUCGGGCUUUAGUGGCGCAUGGGUGCGUAACGCGUGGGAAUCUGCCCUGGGGUUCGGAAUAACACUUGGAAAUGACUGCUAAUACCGGAUGAUGACGAAAGUCCAAAGAUUUAACGCCGUUGGAUGAGCCCGCGUAGGAUUAGCUAGUUGGUGGGGUAAAGGCUUACCAAGGCGACGAUCCUUAGCUGGUCUGAGAGGAUGAUCAGCCACACUGGGACUGAGACACGGCCCAGACUCCUACGGGAGGCAGCAGUGGGGAAUAUUGGACAAUGGGCGAAAGCCUGAUCCAGCAAUGCCGCGUGAGUGAAGAAGGCCUUCGGGUUGUAAAGCUCUUUUACCAGGGAAGAUAAUGACAGUACUGGGAGAAUAAGCCCCGGCUAACUCCGUGCCAGCAGCCGCGGUAAU